CAACCUACGCACGCACACGGGCUCGACUCCUUUCCUCCGCCUCUCGUCUGCUAGGUCCCCUCUCCGACCGAACCCUCCCAAUCCAAAGCGAUUCCUCCGGCCCGCCGCCGUCCCGAUCACGCCACGCCGCGCCGCGCCGCCGGGGCGGCGUCUCCCCGUGCGCCCUUAGCUCAGCUCGCGUUCCGGUGGAACAGAGACGAGAGGAGGUGAGGGGAUGGAGAUCCAGUCGUCUGGCCGGUCCAUCGAGGGGCUGAUGGAGAAGGUGCUGUCUGUGAACAUCCUCUCCUCGGACUACUUCAAGGAGCUCUUCAAGUACAAGACCUACCACGAGGUGGUCGACGAGAUCUACAACCAGGUGGACCACGUCGAGCCCUGGAUGACCGGCAACUGCCGCGGCCCUUCCUCCGCCUUCUGCCUCCUCUACAAGUUAUUCACCAUGAAGCUCACCGUCAAGCAGAUGCACGGCCUGCUCAAGCACCAGGACUCACCCUACAUCAGAGCUAUUGGAUUCCUCUACCUGCGAUAUGUUGCAGAACCGAAGACGCUGUGGUCUUGGUACGAACCCUAUAUCAAGGAUGGCGAGGAGUUUGCCCCUGGCUCAAAUGGUAAAUCGACUACAAUGGGCGUUUAUGUGCGUGAUCUUCUCCUUGGUCAGGUAUAUCUCUUGAAGUUAUUUCACAAUUCUUCCAUAUAACAAAAAAGUAUCCUGAGCUGCUAUCACAGUGUCUCCUUAGUUACCCAACUGCAUCCGAGGGCAGAGAUCAUUAACCGUAUUCUUUUCUGAACCUAAAUGCCAUUAGUCUUUCUUGAAUCACUCACCUGUUGAUUUGGCAUACUGAGGGGAAAUUUCAAUUGUGGAGUUGCUUUUAAGAGGAGACAUCAUCUCUUCCGCCAGUAACAUCACUGUAUAAGUACUAUUUCGAUAGUCUUCUUCCACGAGUGCCUCUCCCAAUUCUCCGACAGGUCACUAGCCAUCUUGAGAAGCUGAAGCUUCCAACAAAGCAGUCAGGAAUGACUGGGGACUCCAAUAGGCUUGAAUCAAAUGAUACUGCCAGAAGACCUCCUUCUGUAAAGGCUUCUUUGUCUGUCUCUUUUGGUCAGCGUGCUCCACACCGUGCAUCCACAAGGGAUUCUUCCCCAGUCCGAAGAACAUUACCUUCCAAACAGGACAAGGAAAGAAGUUAUGAUGGCGACCGUGCAAAAUCGCCACCAAGGAAACGCCGAAGUCGGAGUUCUGAGCGUGAUCAUGACUCUGAGAGGGACCGUUCAGAUCGUGAUCGUGGCAGGUAUAAGGAUAGGGAGCAUGAUCGUUAUGCUCGUGAUCACAGAGACCGUGAUCAUCAUCGGUCGAGUUAUUCAGAUAGGGAUGAUGAAAGACGGGGCCGUGAAAAGAGGGACAGGGAUUCUGACCGAAAUAGACAUUCAAGCUCCCGCAGGAGCAGGAGCAGGAGUCCAGUCCGUGGCAGAACUGACGGUGACAAACAUCGCUCCAGUCCAUUUGGUAGGGCACCAGAAUCAUCCAACCUGGCAAAGCUGAAGGAUCUGUAUGGUGAUGCAACAAACACAAAGAAUGAUGCUGGUGAUGAUAGAGCUCACAGGGAUUCUGGAACAGAAGAGGUAAUCCGACUGGGAGGGGCAAGGUGGAGGUGAAUCUCAUGUUAUGGCAGGUCCAUGAAUCCAAACAUCAUUAGUGUCAGAAAUUACCCAAGAAAUGAUGGGCUGUAUGUCUUAACUUGAACUUGUAAUUUCAAAUAUUUACUCUGAAGUUCCCCCAUUAUUAUGCUGUCAAUCUUUUUUAUGUUGAAGUUCUGUUGCUUAUCUGCCAAUGGUUGGUGCUACAGAAUGUGCUCUGACAUUA